rnacentral:rRNA from 1 species
AUGACCGCCGGCUCCCGACGGAGGCGGCCGACCUCCUCAAUGGCGCCUAUCGCCCUGUCCGUACCCGCCCCCAACGCUUCCCCGGCGCCGCGGCGCCUCCGCCGCCCGGCCAUCGCGGCCGCCGGCGCCGCGCUCGCGGCGCUCCUCCUCCUCGCGGCGGCCGCCGCCGUCUGGCGCCCGGACUACCUCCCCGCCGCGCUCCUCCGCCGCCCCGCGCCCGCCGCCGCCAGGUUCUACUCCUUCGACCUUGUCCGCGAGUACCCCCACGAUCCCGAGGCCUUCACCCAGGGUCUCCUGUACGCGGGAAACGACACUCUCUUCGAGUCCACUGGCCUUUAUCACCAGUCGUCGGUCCGAAAGGUUGAUCUUCAAACUGGCAAAGUUUUAGAUCAGCACCAAAUGGAUGGACAUAUGUUUGGAGAAGGCCUAACACUUCUCGACGACAGAUUGUUUCAAGUUACUUGGUUGAAGAAUGAUGGAUUCAUAUACGACCGACAUAACUUUAGCAAACGUGAAAGUUUUACCCAUAAAAUGCGUGACGGGUGGGGGUUGGCUACAGAUGGAAAAAUCCUAUUUGGCAGUGAUGGUACUUCAAAGUUGUACCAGCUGGAUCCAAUAUCACUUGAAGUAACGAAGACAGUAACUGUGAAAUAUCAAGACAAUGACGUUUCCUAUAUUAAUGAACUGGAAUAUAUAAAUGGUGAAGUAUGGGCAAAUGUCUGGCAGACAGAUUGCAUAGCUAGAGUUUCGCAUGAAGAUGGCCAAGUGGCGAGCUGGAUCCUUCUUCAUGAGCUGAGGCAGCAGUUGUGGAAUUCUGGCAACACGGAAAUUGAUGUUUUGAACGGCAUAGCUUGGGACGAAGAAAAUGACAGACUGUUCGUGACCGGGAAACUGUGGCCAAAGCUUUACGAGAUCAAGUUGCGUCCGGUGGAUGGGCCACCGGAUGGGUCCGUGGAGAAACUGUGCCCAAGGGCAAGCUUUUAUCGCUGA